AGCUUUUUCAUCUUUCUUUCGUUGCAGGCUACAUAGAUGAUUUGUUUAACCGCAGGAAGAUCUUUGAUAAGCCCAAAUAUAUUGUUGACUGUUUGAAAGCUUUGAUCCACCAUAAUGGAAUUGAUAGUCCUCAGAUUCAUGAAGGCGCCAUCCAUGUUAAAACGGGUCUUGAAGUUUUUAGGAAGAAGCAUGUAUUGGUGUUCAUUUCGAGUCUUGAUAGCAUUGAAGAUGAGAUUUCACUUUUGAAUUCAAUCUAUGAAAGAUUGCAAGAAAACUCAAAAGAAUCAAUAAAAUAUCCACCCUCAUGCUUCCAAACAAGUCUUGGAUGAACUUUCUGAAAACCUUCAAAUUCCUACUGUGGUUCAACCACCACAGAUGCAAAGCUGCAGG